GGAAGGUAAAAGGGAGUGAGCACGGUAUAUACACAAGGACACAGGGAAGGUAAAAGGGAGUGAGCAUGGAAUAUACACAAGGACACAGGGAAGGUAAAAGGGAGUGAGCAUGGAAUAUACACAAGGACACAGGGAAGGUAAAAGGGAGUGAGCACGGAAUAUACACAAGGACACAGGGAAGGUAAAAGGGAGUGAGCACGGUAUAUACACAAGGACACAGGGAAGGUAAAAGGGAGUGAGCAUGGAAUAUACACAAGGACACAGGAAGGUAAAAGGGAGUGAGCACGGUAUAUACACAAGGACACAGGGAAGGUAAAAGGGAGUGAGCAUGGAAUAUA